rnacentral:rRNA from 1 species
AUACGGAGGUUGCAAGCGUUGCUCGGAAUCACUGGGCGUAAAGCGAACGCAGGCGGCCCGGCAAGUCGGGUGUGAAAGCCCGGGGCUCAACCCCGGAAUUGCACUCGAAACUGCCGGCCUUGAGUACGGGAGAGGGAAGCGGAAUUCCUAGUGUAGAGGUGAAAUUCGUAGAUAUUAGGAGGAACACCCGUGGCGAAAGCGGCUUCCUGGCCCGAUACUGACGCUCAUGUUCGAAAGCGUGGGGAGCAAACAGGAUUAGAAACCCUAGUAGUCC